GGCGGCAGGCCUAACACAUGCAAGUCGAACGGUAGCACAGAGGAGCUUGCUCCUUGGGUGACGAGUGGCGGACGGGUGAGGAAUAUAUCGGAAUCUACCCAAUCGUGGGGGAUAACGUAGGGAAACUUACGCUAAUACCGCAUACGAUCUGAGGAUGAAAGCGGCGGACCGCAAGGCGUCGCGCGAUUGGAUGAGCCGAUAUCCGAUUAGCUAGUUGGUAAGGUAAAAGCUUACCAAGGCGACGAUCGGUAGCUGGUCUGAGAGGAUGAUCAGCCACACUGGAACUGAGACACGGUCCAGACUCCUACGGGAGGCAGCAGUGGGGAAUAUUGGACAAUGGGCGCAAGCCUGAUCCAGCCAUGCCGCGUGUAUGAAGAAGGCCUUCGGGUUGUAAAGCACUUUUGUUGGGAAAGAAAAGCAUUCGGUUAAUACCCGGGUGUUCUGACGGUACCCAAAGAAUAAGCACCGGCUAACUUCGUGCCAGCAGCCGCGGUAAUACGAAGGGUGCAAGCGUUACUCGGAAUUACUGGGCGUAAAGCGUGCGUAGGUGGUUUGUUAAGUCAGAUGUGAAAGCCCCGGGCUCAACCUGGGAAUUGCAUUUGAUACUGGCAGACUAGAGUGCGGUAGAGGAGAGUGGAAUUCCCGGUGUAGCAGUGAAAUGCGUAGAGAUCGGGAGGAACAUCAGUUGCGAAGGCGGCUCUCUGGACCAGCACUGACACUGAGGCACGAAAGCGUGGGGAGCAAACAGGAUUAGAUACCCUGGUAGUCCACGCCCUAAACGAUGCGAACUGGACGUUGGGAUCAAUUGAGAUUUCAGUGUCGAAGCUAACGCGUUAAGUUCGCCGCCUGGGGGAGUACUGUCGCAAGACUGAAACUCAAGGAAUUUGACGGGGGCCCGCACAAGCGGUGGAGUAUGUGGUUAAUUCGAUGCACGCGAGAACCUUACCUGGGUCUUGACAUGCACGUAAUCCUUUAGAGAUUAGGAGGAGUGGCCUUCGGACCGUGACCACUGGGUGCUUGCAUGGCCUGUCGUUCAGCUCGUGUUCGGUGAGAUGUUGGAUUAGGUUCCGGCUACGUAG
rnacentral:rRNA from 1 species